AUAUUUACCUGACAGGGGAGAUACCAGGAACACAAAGAUGGUUUUCUCAGGGCAGGGCUUGUCCACUACUCUCCGGAUGUGCUGAUCUCUAAAAGUUUUCCAGUGUGGGAAACUCGACUACAUAAUCUGUGGUAGUAGGGGACUGAAUUCAAGCUCUCCUUUG